rnacentral:tRNA from 1 species
GGAGAGAUGUCCGAGUGGUUGAAGGAGGCGGUCUUGAAAACCGUUGCGUUGCAAAGCGCCGGGGGUUCGAAUCCCUCUCUCUCCG